rnacentral:piRNA from 1 species
UCUGCGUGAAGAUAUUUAGGAAACCUCAGA